GACGAACGCUGGCGGCGUGCCUAACACAUGCAAGUCGAGCGGGGUUGAGGCGAGAGGUAACUCGAACUUCUACCUAGCGGCGGACGGGUGAGUAACGCGUGGGCAACCUGCCUCAAGGUUUGGGAUAACAGCCCGAAAGGGCUGCUAAUACCGGAUAUGCCUAUGGCCUCGCAUGGGGCUAUGAGCAAAGGGGAAACCCGCCUUGAGAUGGGCCCGCGUCCCAUCAGCUAGUUGGUGAGGUAACAGCUCACCAAGGCGACGACGGGUAGCCGGCCUGAGAGGGUGACCGGCCACACUGGGACUGAGACACGGCCCAGACUCCUACGGGGGGCAGCAGUGGGGGAUCUUGCACAAUGGGCGAAAGCCUGAUGCAGCGACGCCGCGUGAGCGAAGAAGGCCUUCGGGUUGUAAAGCUCUGUCUUCAGGAAGAAAAAAUAGACGGUACCUGAGGAGGAAGCCCGGCUAACUACGUG
rnacentral:rRNA from 1 species